rnacentral:lncRNA from 1 species
CUCGUGUUGGCGCCCUUCCUAUUUGAUCAUGCUUUUGACAUGCUAGACAACUCUUUGCAUACUGAACGCAUGAUUCUCCCAUCUUUGGCAAAAAAUAUCCAUUCCUAAUAAUUAACCAUCUCAUCCUUUGGCCAGCUUGAUGAGCUCCACAUAUCCCUUUGUGCACUUCAGUCAUGAUCGUCCUGGCUUCUUGCAAACUUACACAUUUUAGCAAUAUACCAUCAGAGCGUUUCUUAAACAACCCUUCAUCUAUCAGUGUAUAGUUUGGCAAACGUAACUUCAUUUUUUUACUAUUUCCUAUAUUAGGUUCUUUAAGGAACCUUUUAAUCUCUGCCCUUCAAUCUAUUGUAUCUCCAUCUUGUAUGUAAUGAAUUUUAAUCGUUCUCACCCUUCUUUGGACCACGAGCAAUAUUGUUCCAUACUCAUAAGUAGACUUCCAAUUUAAAACCUUUGAGUACCAUGAGGCCAUCUGGGCCAAUUCGUUUGCUACGUCAUUAUAUAUCCUAUUAACACAUUGAAGCUCUAUUUGGUCGAAUUCUUCCAACAACUCUUAGGCGAUUUCAUACUGACUUAUAAUGGAAUCACUUUGGCAUUUAAAAUCACCAAUCAAUUGGUGAAUUACCAAUUGAGAAUCGCCUCUAACGAUCACAUUUUUUACUCUCAUAUCUAUCAUUAAUUCUAGGCCAUGAUUAAGGCUUCGUAUUCGGCCUGAUUGUUGGUGCACAUCCUGUCCAAAGUGAAUGCG